AAGUCGUAACAAGGUCUCCGUAGGUGAACCUGCGGAGGGAUCAUUAACACAGUAGUGCGACCUAGUGCGACCUGCAGCACCAGCAAUGGCGGCUGCAGGGCGACACUCUCGUACACCCAUACAGCGUGAACUACUAUGACCCUUUUUGUUUCAUUUCAGCUACUCCUCAGCCUUAGCUGUGCUGGUGUAGGUAGGUGAAAUGUUUCAUUAUUUUGCAAUGAAACCCUUUCCAAUGAUAUUUCACGUAUUUGUAACUGUGACCCUUUUGGUGUGUACUAGUUUCGACUAGUGCGCUCUGUUUGGUGUCUCAACUAUUACGAACUAUUUUAGAGUACAACUCUUAGCAACGGAUAUCUUGGUUCUC
rnacentral:misc_RNA from 1 species